CCAAGAUUUAUUAAUUUUUUUUCAUAAAUAUUACUCAAGUUGUUCUCAUUUUUCCAUCACCACUUUCAUGAUCUUAAUACUGUGUAAAGGUACUAAGAUACUAAGUAACUGCAAUAACAAGGUCCUCUUGUUCUGCUUUUACCCCAUUUAAUCAUUUUCUACAAAGAGUGGAACUUGAAAACAUACAGACAAUACAACCUCCUAUUUAAAAUCUUUCAAUGUCUUUCUUAGAAUAACACCAAACUCCAUAACAGGACCUAGAAGUUCCUGUUUGGUCUCACAACCCAUGCUUACUUUUUCUGUCUUUUCCUACACCAAACCCACUAUAACUCUCAGCAUAACCACCGCAUGAGACUAGUUUUAGGAACUUAAAUUGUCAUGCACUUUUUCACCACAACACCUGGGCAAAAGUUGUUCCCUAUACCUGGAAUUCUUUUUCAUCUGUUCUUCAACAAGUUGAUUCCAAAAAAUUUUCUAUAUCUCAAUUCUAUUUUCAAAAACCAUUGACUUCUAUAAGCCUCUAUUUAGGUACUAUAAUACAGUCAUGUUUGGGGUCUCCUGCAAAUAGCAUCAAUUCAGAGCAAGUGUCUUGUAGCUUCACCAAAAUAUAAUUAUUUCCUUUUAUCCAAAGAAUAGUCACCCAGGUAAGUGAUUAUAUAUCUCUUUGGGGAAGGGUGGGGAGAAGUCAUAACUAUUAACAUAUAAAUUUUACCAGUUGAACAGGACCCUUCCUCAGCAGACUUAGCCAUUUCCCUCUCCCUUAACUGACAGAGUUCUAGUUCAGUCCUGGGAAUUGAUUGUGGGAUCAUGAUUGCCUGUGUUGCUGCUUCAAGUCAGACCUGGCACCCUUCUAUCCCAGCAAGGUGGGCUUUUGGAGAGAGAGCUCCAUAUAUGCAGAUGGAAUUGAUCAUUUAGUUACAUCCUACACCUCCCAGGAACCUUCCCCAGGACUGGGCCAAUAAAAGGAAACAACCUGAGAGGAUCAGUGAGUAAGGGAGUGAGUCAGUCAGUCUGUCUCUCCCUGCUUCUGAGAGAGGAGUAAGAACAAUCCAAACUUAUGAGAGGGGAACAGGAAGUUGAGGCAGGUGCCUGGUGGCAAAAGUAGGCUGAGGAUCAUAGACACAGCUGAAUGCUCGCCUCAGUGAAGUCAAGCAAGAUUUCUAGGAUCUCCCCUUGAAGUUGAGGACUGUAUCCAGUGGGAGCCUCCCUAACCUUCCUCAUGUUGCCUGAGAACACACACUCAUGAAGUCAUGUAGGCCAGCUCUGCAUGCCUUUAUCCUCCCCCAGUUCAGACAGCAAAUGUUUUAAUUGCUCAUUUCAACUCUAUGAAACCAUCAGACACUGGAUGGUAUGCAAUAUGAUACGUCCAUUUGGUGUGGUACUUCUUUGCCCACUGUUGAAUACUA